UGGGUUUGUGGUAGGCGGAUUCCUUGUCCCCAAAGAAAGAAAUAGAAGAAAUGCCCCCAUGCACACCAACUGUUUGCGUUGCGGUCCAGAAAAUUUUAAAUUAUUUCAAAUAUUAUUUUAUCUUAUUUAUUUAUCGGAAGCCAUGAGUGUGAUAUUUUGGUUAUCGGAAGCCAUGAGUGUGAUAUUUUGGUUAGCGGAAGCUUCUUCUUGGUCAGUCAAUGCAAAAUGUAUUAGUUUCGAAGUUUCCCAGAAAGCAGCUUUGCAAUU
rnacentral:lncRNA from 1 species